rnacentral:rRNA from 1 species
CAGCCGCCACGGGAAUACGUAGGUGGCAAGCGUUGUCCGGAAUUAUUGGGCGUAAAGCGCGCGCAGGCGGAUCAGUUAGUCUGUCUUAAAAGUUCGGGGCUUAACCCCGUGAGGGGAUGGAAACUGCUGAUCUAGAGUAUCGGAGAGGAAAGUGGAAUUCCUAGUGUAGCGGUGAAAUGCGUAGAUAUUAGGAAGAACACCAGUGGCGAAGGCGGCUUUCUGGACUGCAACUGACGCUGAGGCUCGAAAGCCAGGAGAGCGAACGGGAUUAGAUACCCCAGUAGUCCCUGUCUCUUAUACA